rnacentral:rRNA from 1 species
UGAGGAAUAUUGGUCAAUGGGCGGAAGCCUGAACCAGCCAAGUCGCGUGAGGGAUUAAGGCCCUGCGGGUCGUAAACCUCUUUUGCCGGGGAGCAGUGGUCCGGACGCGUCCGGACCGGGAGAGUACCCGGAGAAAAAGCAUCGGCUAACUCCGUGCCAGCAGCCGCGGUAAUACGGAGGAUGCGAGCGUUAUCCGGAUUUAUUGGGUUUAAAGGGUGCGUAGGCGGGCAUUUAAGCCGGCGGUCAAAUGUCGGGGCUCAACCCCGGCCUGCCGUCGGAACUGGGUGCCUUGAGUGGGCGAGAAGUAUGCGGAAUGCGUGGUGUAGCGGUGAAAUGCAUAGAUAUCACGCAGAACCCCGAUUGCGAAGGCAGCAUACCGGCGCCCGACUGACGCUGAGGCACGAAAGUGCGGGUAUCGAACA